GGCAGGGUGGCCUAGUCGAUAGAGCACUGGACUGGUACUCAGGAGACCUGGGUUCUAUUUCCAGCUGUGUCA
rnacentral:tRNA from 1 species